rnacentral:rRNA from 1 species
AACGAACGCUGGCGGCAUGCCUAACACAUGCAAGUCGAACGAGACCUUCGGGUCUAGUGGCGCACGGGUGCGUAACGCGUGGGAACCUGCCCUUAGGUUCGGAAUAACUCCCCGAAAGGGGUGCUAAUACCGGAUAAUGUCUUCGGACCAAAGAUUUAUCGCCUUUGGAUGGGCCCUCGUUGGAUUAGCUAGUUGGUAGGGUAAAAGCCUACCAAGGCGACGGUCCAUAGCUGGUCUGAGAGGAUGAUCAGCCACACUGGGACUGAGACACGGCCCAGACUCCUACGGGAGGCAGCAGUGGGGAAUAUUGGACAAUGGGCGAAAGCCUGAUCCAGCCAUGCCGCGUGAGUGAUGCAGGCCUUAGUGUUGUAAAGCUCUUUUACCCGGGAUGAUAAUGACAGUACCGGGAGAAUAAGCACCGGCUAACUCCGUG